ensembl:lncRNA
UCUCCAUGAUCCUAAACCCUCCCACCCCCACCUCCCAGUUCCAUUCCCAAGAAGAAGGGGAGAAAGGGCAUUGGCAACCCCCGGAAGACCUGGGCUCUUUUUGUCCUUCUAGCAAGGCUGGUCUGCUUUAUGGGCUGCCCAGAUCCCAUUGGCCUGUCCCGGGACUCUCCCUUGAUCCCAUCCCCCACCUGAUUUUGGUGGCUGGAGCUCAGGCAUUUCCCCUUCGGCCUCCAAAGGCUCAGGCCCACCUAUGGCUCAGGACUAGUCCUGGCUCAGUGCAAGGGGUGGGAACAAGCUGAAGGACCCAUGUCUGGGAACCGCCCCUGCCUACGCCUUGGCCCUGAACUUCCUGUUGGAGCUACUGGACCUGUGCCACCAGGAAGAAGGCAGUGGGAUCAGCCUCUGGCAGCCCAGGAGUCCCUGACUGAUGCCCAGGGCUGCCUCUCCAUGGUCCUAGAGCCCUGGCUUGUGUGCUGAGCACCGACUGAGAAUGAAGAUGCAGGGUCCUGCCUUGGGCCUCAGACACAGGAGGGAGGUGGAUGCAGAACAGUCCUCUGAGGUGGUGGUAGCAUGGCUCAUUUUUUCAGACGAGAAAGAAAACUGAGUCUAAGGGACGAAGUCAAGUACACGGUUAAUACAAGGAAAGCAAGCAGCCCGGAGCCAGCACAUCCUAGGGAUUCCAUGGGUGUUAGUUUUGUUUUCUGCCUGUCUCUUCUCUCUUCCUCCAGAGGAUCAAAGAGGCCUGAUCCCAUAACACAAAAGCGCAGGAGCUUCCACAGAGAGCCAUCACAUUCCCAGGAAGAAUCACUGAGGUGUGGGGCACAGAAUGAGUUUAGGGACCCUGCAGGCCUGCGUUCAAGUCAUGCCCCUCCGUGCCACCUUGUCAUCUCUGGCUAUGAACCUCGUGGUGCAGGAUGGCCCAGCAAGGCUGUUGACUUUGCCUCCAAAAUCUCUGGAAUCUCUACACUUCUCUUCACUGGCCACGCUUGUCCCAUCUGGAGUAAGCACCGGCCUCCCCUGUUGCUCUCGCUGCUCCUGUCCCCUGUAGGACACUCUCCACCUGGCAGCCAGAGAGAGCUCGUCUUAAAGAGAAAACCAGAUCUCCCCAUUUCCCUUCCAAAACCAGUGAUAUUCGGGUCAAUGGUGAACGUUCAGGGAGAAAAACCAAGAUUGGUGGCAUUUGUCAAUUUCUGUCAAUCCUCCUGCCAUGGCUGAUUUCAAGCUACUGGCAAUUAAACCACCUGCUUGCAACAUGCCUGAAGACUUAACCGUGGUUCUUAUGAGCUGGUGUGAGCUGGCUGCAGCACAUCACUGCUCUAAAAAAUGACAGAUGAAAUUCACACCCUGGCUGAUGUGGCUCCAAAUGCUCUGGCUCCCCGCUUGCCCAUUCCUCUCACAGUGGCUUUUCUGUUCUGCUUCCCGGUCGCAGGGCCUUUGAACCUGUGGUUCCCUCGGCCUGGAGCACGAGUCUCCAAGCUCUUCACAGUACUCUCUCCCUCUGGCCUUCCAGAUCCUAGCUCAGAACCCACCUCUUCAGAGUGGCCUUCCCUCACCAGCUUACCCUUGAUGCCCUCACCCCGUGUUGCUCUAUUUUAGCACUCCUUACUGCAGAUUUUUUCCCUCCCCACUGGAAUGUGAUCUCCAUGAGGACAAGGUCUGGGACCAAAUUGACAUCUAGACCUCCCGAUGUCUCAGUGUCUAGAAGAAUAGUGCUGGACACACAGCAGGUGCUCAAUAGAUGUAUGCAUACAAAUGGAGCUUUGGAGACGCACAGCUUUGGGUCCAAGUCACGACUCUCGUACCAACCAUCUGUGUAACCAUCAUGAAUCAUUCAGUCCCUCUGAGCCUCUGUUUCCUCAUCUGUAAGUGGGGGACAACAGUGCCUAUGUGAUGGGGCUGUGAGGACCUAAUGAUGACAUAGGUAAGGCACUCAGUACAGUGUCUGUCAUACCAGGACCUCAGUAAAUGAGAAUGGCCUCUUCACUUGAAUACAUUCAGUGAUGGGAAGCUCAUCCCCUCCCAAGGUAGCCUCUUCAUCCACUUCUGGGUCCCUGUGGCCACUAAAACACCUGCCCUUUCCUGUGUGGAAUCCAAGUUAGUCUCUUCCAGUGUCCCCUCCCUCAGUCCUGGUUCAACAACUUCCCACAUGGAAAGUCUCUUGCUAUUAAAACCUCUUUCUUAAUGUUGGCCUGAAGUUGACAGAGUCGUUUCAGCAUGAAAGGAGCACUAAGGAUAGAUCAGACAUUUCUCUGCUUUCAUCAGGCAUGAGCUGUCUGGCCUUGGGCGAGUCCCUUAUCCUCACUGAGCCUCAGUUUCUUCCUCCAUGAAAUGGGAUUAGCAAUAAUACUUAUCUCCUGGGGUUGUUGUGGAGAUGAAAUUAGCUGGUAUACAUGAGGCACUCAGCAUCUAGCACAAAGAACGUGCUCGAAAGACAUCACUGCCAUCAUGCCUGGUGCAGCUCCACCCUCAGAUCUGGCAUCUGUGGCCUUUUUCUGCCCCAAAGGCCAGGCCUCUCCUGAAUGCUCUCCAGCCAAGCUGGAGAAAGGGCCUGCCCUGGCUCACCCACCCCAACCUGCACUCCCAUCUGUCAGAACUGCCCCCUCACGGUCCACAAGGGGGUGACUCAGAGCUUCCCCAAAUCUCCCAUGGGACUACCUGACCCUGGGCAGUCAUUUCAUCCACUGAGCUUGGAAGGAGAGGUCCCCAGGCCCUGGAAAACAAGCUGCCCUGAGGAGGGAACUGAGAGUGGCUGGGUCCACUCCGGGCUGGGGUGGCUUCUGCCAGCUCCCUGGGUGGCCUGGACCAGCCCUCUUUCUUAUCAUUUUUAUGGUUUCCUGAUGUUCUUAAAAAUGCUGAUGGUGGUAGAGAACGCGGCCAAGGAGACUAGUUAAGAGCCGAAAUGAGGAAGGGGGAAGACCAGGAGAGCGGUAUUCCAAACACUGAGAAAGAAGCAGACCCAAGAGAGUCUAGGGAAGAAGCAGAUCGAAGAUGGUGCCAGGAUUUCUGAGUCCCUGGGGCUGCAAUGCGGUGAGCAGUCACACCUGUGAUCCUGUCCCCUUUCAUGGCAAUGGGGAUUUUGCCGAUGUUGUUUACCAAUCAACUGACCUUGAAAUGGGAAGAUUACCCUUGGGUCUAACUGAUUACACAAGCCCUUUCAGAGCAGAGCGUUUUCUCUGUGGCUGGUAGAAGAGGAAGUCUGAGAGAUUGGAUGGGUGAGAGGGAUUCAGUGGGAACAGAGAACAGAGGUCACGUUGCUGACAUGGCAGGGGUCAUGGGGCAAAGACUGGAGCCAAGGACAGGUCCCCAGCGGCAGUCAGCAAGGAAACAGGGACCUCAGGCCUGUGGCUGCAGGGAACUGAACGCUGCCAGCCACCUGAGUAAGUGAAUGUAGAGCCUUCCCCGGGGCCUCCGGAUAACAGGCUAGACCUUGACUUCGGCCUAAUGGGACCCAAAGAAGAGAAGCCAGUGUCGCCCUCCCAGCACCCACAGCACAUCGGGGCUGGUUCAGGAAAGACCCUCCAAGACCUAUGAGACCCACUGAGAAUUUGGGUUUUGAUCUAGGGGGCCCUAGGGACCCAGGUGGGCGUAAGAAACAAGGUCAAUGUGAGUUUCAAGGCUAUUAUUUUACCUCUUUUAAUUCUAAGUAUCCCAAAGCCAGGAGAAUAAUUGCAUCUGGAUGAAAUCCUGACCACUUCCUGGGAAGAGUGUAGAGGAGAAAGGCCACCCACGUGCCCCACUGAGCAUGCCAGGGCCACUGAUGGCUCCUGCGUGUAUAGGAGCACUACACUCUGAGCAGCGUCUGCCCUAGGGAGAGGCAUGGGACUGGCCAGCUGAGGCAAGUGGUGCGCUCUGGCCUCAACGGGCUUCCCAGUGAUGGAGGUCACGGUGCAUCACAGAGCAGCCUGCAAUUUUCACAGUCUGUGCGUAUCCUGGGUCCUGGGCUGCAAUGCCUCUGACCUGGGAGCUGGAUAUCGGGGCCUCAGCCAGUGUCGAGGGGAUGGCUGGCCCUUUAGAGGAUAGUCUACCUGACUCCCUAGGGUCUGCAGCAGCUGUCAAGCCUCUCAGGAACUCUGGCAGAAGGAUGGGGCCUGAAUCUACAUAAGGUAGAGGCUAUUUACCCUUGUGCUCAUUCAGACUCUCCUGCCCUCUCUCACCAUCUCACCCAUGGACCCCAAACAUUGCAGUUUACCCAAUCUUUUUGUAUCAAGAUCUCAUGGAGCUGCAGGCAUGUGGGGUCCCACACUCAGAAGUGCUUGCUUUAAGGCUCUGCUAUUGCUGUCUCCCAUUCCCUUUCCCAUCCCCUUCUCCCAUGCCCUCCUCCCAUCCCCUCCUCCCAUCCCCUCUUCCCAUCCCCUCCUCCCACCCCCUCCUCCCAUCCCCUCUCCCACACCCUUUUUCUACUCCCUCCUCCCACCCCUCUCCUAUUCCCUCUCCCCUCCCCUCCUCCCAGUUCCUCUCCCACCCCCUCCUCCCAUCCCUUCCUCUCAUCCCCUCUGCCAUCC